rnacentral:rRNA from 1 species
CAGGGCUUCCCGUCCGCUCAGCCGUACUUAAGCCACACGCCGGUGAGUUAGUAGUUGGGUGGGUGACC